GUCUCAUUAGAACUUUCACAAUAUUAUUUUUUUUGUCACCAAUUUUAUCGUCAACAAAAGUAUUUUUUAAGGACAAUGUUUUAUUUUAAUAUUUAACCCAGUAUGAAGUUGAAUGUCAACUUUUAUGUUCCUGCGCAAGCGCGCGUGCGACCCCCAAGAGGCAUUUCGGUUUGAAGUGAUUUUCCGGCCUCUGUACAAGUAACUACGACUAAUAUCAAACUAUGAACUCCUGCGUACGAGCUCGGGAGAGUGAGUGCCGGAGAGCAGUGUGGUUUAUACCGACAUUCAGCCUUUAAAUACGGAGGAAACCGCUGCGACGAGACCCCAUGUUCAGAUGAAGAAACACCGGCCCCAAGUUCUGAUCCCACACUGGUCACGGAGCUAAUGCUAGCACUAGCACUAGCAGCAGCGCCGUCAAGGGUCGUAGACCCGAGGACCCAAGACCGGAGGAUUUUAGACUGUGGGACCCAGCGACAGCCUUUGGUCCCCAGCAAAGGAGCUCUAAUUCCUUCUGGUUUGAGCACUUUAUCUGACUGGAAUAUUCCGGGACUCAGUCUACUGUUUUUCGCUCACCGGACAGUCGCAGUUAUCGUUCUGGUGGUGGUGUUUUUUUUUACUCUGACUGGAUCUGAGAACCGUUUGGUGCGAGUUGAACACAGAGAAAGCCGGUAAAAUGCGACGCUGCCGGUCAUUUAAAGAAGGUUCCAGAAAAGCGAAUCAAAUCUGACCGAACAGAAGAAGAGAAGAAGCUGCGGUGGAACAACGUCUCAGGGAAGAUGAUGAGACAGAAAACAGAGGGAACUUUCUCCAGCCACCUGUAAAAAUGUGCUUAUUUGGGCACAUGACGCAGAACUAUAGCGUCACAUUUAAAUGCGGAGUUUACGCCAAGUCUGCAACGAGAAGAUCAAUUUUGGACUUUGUUUCACUGAUGGAACCAGACUAUGAUGUCUUUAUGGAUGAACAUAAUCUCGUCUUCAUAUAAUCCCUGACGCUUCCUAUAACGCCAAUCAAUCAUCAAUCAUCAAUCUAGUAAGUGGGCGGCAGGAGGAAGAGGACGAGCGAGAGACAGAGGGAGACGGAGAGCGAGUAGAAAAGGGCACACCAGGUGUUUUCCGCUGCUGCUGCUGCUGCUGCUGAUGAUGAUGUUCGUCUCUUCCUUCUCCACCGAGACGUCGCAU